ensembl:miRNA
CUGGGAUUACAGGCGUGAGCCACUGCGCCUGGCUGGCUUAAUAUUUUAAAAGGUAAUGUAGGCCGGGAGCGGUGGCUCACGCCUGUAAUCCCAGC